rnacentral:rRNA from 2 species
UAAGGAAUAUUGGUCAAUGGGCGGAAGCCUGAACCAGCCAUGCCGCGUGCAGGAUGACUGCCCUCUGGGUUGUAAACUGCUUUUGUCCAGGAAUAAACCUAGAUACGUGUAUCUAGCUGAAUGUACUGGAAGAAUAAGGAUCGGCUAACUCCGUGCCAGCAGCCGCGGUAAGACGGAGGAUCCGAGCGUUAUCCGGAUUUAUUGGGUUUAAAGGGUGCGUAGGCGGCCUAUUAAGUCAGGGGUGAAAUACGGUGGCUCAACCAUCGCAGUGCCUUGGAUACUGAUGGGCUUGAAUCCAUUUGAAGUGGGCGGAAUAAGACAAGUAGCGGUGAAAUGCAUAGAUAUGUCUUAGAACUCCGAUUGCGAAGGCAGCUCACUAAGCUGGUAUUGACGCUGAUGCACGAAAGCGUGGGGAUCGAACAGG